UGCAAGUCGAACGCUCAUUUUCCGGUAGCAAUACUGGGAAGUGGGAGUGGCGCAAGGGUGCGUAACACGUGGAUCAUCUACCUGGAAGUUCUGAAUAAUCCCGAGAAAUCGGGACUAAUGCGGGAUGUGGCCGGGAGGCUAAAGUUGGGGACCGCAAGGCCUGACGCUUCCAGAUGAGUCCGCGGCCUAUCAGCUAGUUGGCGGGGUAACGGCCCACCAAGGCUAAGACGGGUAGCUGGUCUGAGAGGACGACCAGCCUCACUGGAACUGAGACACGGUCCAGACACCUACGGGUGGCAGCAGUCGAGAAUUUUUCUCAAUGGGGGAAACCCUGAAGGAGCGACGCCGCGUGAGGGAUGAAGGGCUUCGGCCCGUAAACCUCUGUCAUUUGCGAACAAGUGUUACGGUUGAACAUUCCGUAAUUUGAUUGUAGCGAAAGAGGAAGGGACGGCUAACUCUGUGCCAGCAGCCGCGGUAAUACAGAGGUCCCAAGCGUUGUUCGGAUUCACUGGGCGUAAAGGGUGCGCAGGUGGGCUGGUAAGUUCGAUGUGAAAGCCCCGGGCUUAACCCGGGAAUGGCAUUGGAAACUACUGGUCUGGAGGAUUGGAGGGGGGACUGGAAUUCUUGGUGUAGCAGUGAAAUGCGUAGAUAUCAAGAGGAACACCAGUGGCGAAGGCGAGUCCCUGGACAAUUCCUGACACUGAGGCACGAAAGCUAGGGGAGCAAACAGGAUUAGAUACCCUGGUAGUCCUAGCUGUAAACGGUGCGUAUUUGCUGUAAACGGAAUCGACCCCGUUUGUGGCGUAGCUAACGCGAUAAAUACGCCGCCUGGGAAGUACGGUCGCAAGAUUAAAACUCAAAGAAAUUGACGGGGGCCUGCACAAGCGGUGGAGUAUGUGGCUUAAUUCGAUGCAACGCGAAGAACCUUAC
rnacentral:rRNA from 1 species